UACGAAUGGUGCAAGCGUGAAUCGGAAUUACUGGGCGUAAAGCGCGCGUAGGUGGUUCGUUAAGUUGGAUGUGAAAGCCCCGGGCUCAACCUGGGAACUGCAUCCAAAACUGGCGAGCUAGAGUAUGGCAGAGGGUGGUGGAAUUUCCUGUGUAGCGGUGAAAUGCGUAGAUAUAGGAAGGAACACCAGUGGCGAAGGCGACCACCUGGGCUAAUACUGACACUGAGGUGCGCAAGCGGGGGGCGCACACAGGCGGCGAUCACCCGGUAGUCC
rnacentral:rRNA from 1 species